rnacentral:rRNA from 1 species
ACGCUCGACACCUACGGGAGGCAGCAGUGGGGAAUAUUGCACAAUGGGGGAAACCCUGAUGCAGCGACGCCGCAUGAGCGAAGAAGUAUUUCGGUAUGUAAAGCUCUAUCAGCAGGGAAGAAACUGACGGUACCUGACUAAGAAGCACCGGCUAAAUACGUGCCAACAGCCGCGGUAAUCUGAGCGGGCUGGCAAGGC